GGUCUCGCCCCAUCAUUACACUGGUAAGGUUGCUUUUUAAGGGCUGAGGGUCUCGCCCCAUCAUUACACUGGUAAGGUUGCUUUUUAAGGGCUGAGGGUCUCGCCCCAUCAUUACACUGGUAAGGUUGCUUUUUAAGGGCUGAGGGUCUC